rfam:Brenneria goodwinii strain OBR1 genome assembly, contig: Contig
AUAUCAGCCUGAUCACCACGAUUAUUACCACCACCAUUACAACCAGUAACGGUGCGGGCUGACGCAUACAGAAGAAUCGAAAAAAGCCCGCACUUGAUAGUGCGGGCUUUUUUUUU